rnacentral:rRNA from 1 species
GAUGAACGCUAGCGAUAGGCUUAACACAUGCAAGUCGAGGGGCAGCAUUAUUUUAGCUUGCUAAGAUAGAUGGCGACCGGCGCACGGGUGCGUAACGCGUAUGCAACCUGCCUGUAAUUAGGGAAUAACCCGGUGAAAGUCGGACUAAUACCCUAUAUUCUUCUUUCUCCGCAUGGGGGAGGACGGAAAGAUUUAUUGAUUACAGAUGGGCAUGCGUCCCAUUAGCUAGUUGGUAAGGUAACGGCUUACCAAGGCAACGAUGGGUAGGGGGACUGAGAGGUUGACCCCCCACACUGGUACUGAGACACGGACCAGACUCCUACGGGAGGCAGCAGUGAGGAAUAUUGGUCAAUGGGCGAGAGCCUGAACCAGCCAAGUCGCGUGAAGGACGACGGUUCUAUGGAUUGUAAACUUCUUUUGUAGAGGAAUAAUGGCAGCUACGUGUAGCUGAGAUGCAUGUACUCUACGAAUAAGUAUCGG